rnacentral:rRNA from 1 species
CCUACGGGAGGCAGCAGUGAGGAAUAUUGCCCAAUGGACGCAAGUCUGAGGCAGCAACGCCGCGUGAGCGAUGAAGGCCUUCGGGUUGUAAAGCUCUUUUCUGGGGGACGAGGAAGGACGGUACCUCAGGAAUAAGUCACGGCUAACUACGUGCCAGCAGCCGCGGUAAUACGUAGGUGGCGAGCGUUAUCCGGAUUUACUGGGCGUAAAGCGCGUGCAGGCGGUCCUGUAAGUCGGACGUGAAAGCUCCUGGCUUAACUGGGAGAGGCCGUUCGAUACUGCAGGACUUGAGGUCGGGAGAGGGACGUGGAAUUCCCGGUGUAGUGGUGGAAUGCGUAGAUAUCGGGAGGAACACCAGUGGCGAAGGCGGCGUCCUGGCCCGCACCUGACGCUGAGACGCGAAAGCGUGGGUAGCGAACGGGAUUAGAUACCCCAGUAGUCC